GCAUUGGUGGUUCAGUGGUAGAAUUCUCGCCUGCCACGCGGGAGGCCCGGGUUCGGUUCCCUGCCAGUGCA
rnacentral:tRNA from 2 species